AGACCAUAGAUAUCUAUAGAAGACAGCGUGCUAGCGUAUCUAGUCUAUUUAUGUCUAUUGUCGGCACGUCUGGUAGCAUCUCUGGUUGCUGUUGAUCUUGUUUUUGGAGUAAAACACGGUGGAAGCUGAAUUAGUGAGGAUGACUCCUGCUCCUGUCAUCUCUAAGCUCCUCACACAUCUUUACCUGCACAUGAGGAAAAUCACUCCUGUAGAAUGCAGAUGUUCAGAGGGAGAUGAUGCCACAUCUGGUCCAGCUGAUGGAAGGUCUUGAAGUUCUCUGACUGGCCUCGACUGAAGAUGGUCGUCUCACUGGAUUUAAGGUUCAGAUGCUCAGUAACAAACUCCACCAAUGAGCCAACAGGGAAGCUUUAGGUUUAUUAAAUGUUGCUAUGAAGGUAUCGCUGUUUUUCUUUGUGAAUGCAAUGUGCUCCAACUGAAAUUUGAAUUAGAACUUAGAAGUAAAUCCUUCCAUCUGAGAGGAUUUAGUUGCAUUAAUAACCUCAUAACAUUCUAAUUUUUAUUCCAGUCUUGGUUGGAAAUAGAAUCUCUGUAUUGAUUCAGGUAAAAACUGAACUUCACAGCAUGUUGGAGCAAAACAACCAGAUGAAAACUGUGAUGGUGUUGGAUUGUCAGACCGUAAUGUUGCGGCUCAAAGCAGCUUUUCUAUCUCAGUUCAUUCUGAGAUUCAGCUAUGAAUCAACACAGCAGAUGGUGAUCCAUGCUGUGGAAGUGUCACAUCUCCUGAUUUAAUGGAGCUGCUUUGCACUUUUUACACUGUUUAUUCACCAACACUUUAUUUAAUAAAAGUCCCAUCUAGUUUUUAUGAGGAAUGUGAUGUUUUAAUUUCUCUGUGAAUAACUGCAGUCUAAUGCAACAGCUGGAGUUGUAACAUCUGUCCUGAUAUUGAUCAUGAAGUAUUGAUCAGAAUACUUAUGGUCAGCAGUCAUCCCUGAAGUUUUACAUUGAAAUCUUUACUUGUGUUGUGAACUUUAGUAAGAAGCAGAAACUUUAGCGUUGCCAUGGACACAUGAGUGUUAAAUUCUGUCCAAAAUUUAUGACUCUGCACUACAAUAUUAUUUAUUAUUUAAAUGUACAUCAUUAUUACAAUAUUUAGGGUCAGACCCUACAGUAUUGAGAUUAAGAAAUCAAAUAUUCUUUAAAAUGUAAUUACACUGAACUCAUUUGGAUAUAUUUAAGUGAGACUACAGUAUUGUAGUAAAUCUAUCUAAAUCAAAAUUUUAAUAAUUUUCAUGCCAAACAUUUACUGGACUGAUUUAAACAUUAAAAGCACUCCUUUCUAAUCCUCUGCUGUACGUUCAAACCUGAGGCCUUAAAUCAAAACACAAGUAUCUGAUUGAAGGAACUUCUGCAGAGUCCUGGUUCCAGAACAUGAUGAUAGAAUUAUAGACAAACUUUAACAAAAGCUGCCUGAGAGUUUACAGGUUUUUAUGUUGGAUUUCUUCAGUAAUUUAAUGAGAGUUAUCAGCAAAAAUCAAGUGUUCAUUUGAUGAACUUCAUUUCCUAAAACAUCCAGAAUUGGAGCUCAUAUCUUUGGCAGCUGUAAAGUUUCUGCUCCUUCAAAGUUCACAACACAAUGAAU